AGGGUCACCUAUCAUAGGACUAUUCCCGUCAUAACACGCUUAACUUUCUUAAGUUUUUGGACCUAAUCACCAUCCAAAAUAUUUAAGCAGGUUAAAAGUUUUAUCUCUAUUAUAUCUUAUAUAUAUAACUAUCUAGGGUUUCAUAUUCUUUCCCUCUUAAGCUCUGACAUCCUCGUCAAGCUCCGACUCACAAAUAUCAGACGAUGUGAGACUUGUCUUGCUAGUCUAAACCGACUUUCUAGUAAGUUGUGCUCCACCCACAACAGUCAAUAAUAUAAGAGUCUCCCUCUCCCCGCUGUAUAAUUCUGACUUAGCUAAAACUCCCGGCUGGCAAUUGACUCUGAUAACCAAUUGUGACACCUCAACUUCUCGGGGUUCAUCCAUUUUAGGACUAUUCCUGUCCUAAUACGCUUAACUCUUUUAAUCUCUUGGGUCUAUCUAUCACCCAAAGUAUUUAAGCCGGAUUAAAAAUUUUUAUCUCUAUUAUAUCUUAUAUAUAAGACUAUCUAAAAUCUCACAUAAAAUAUUAUAAUUUACAUACUACAGGAUGAUAAGGACAUAAUUUUAGAAAGCAUAGAGUGGCAAAAUGUCGCAUUUUAGUAACCAUUAUUUUGCCCCCGGCGAUCAUGUGAAAUAUAUAUUAUUUUACUAUACUAUUUAAGACAAUUGCUGCCUGGUCCACAUAAUAUAUCCAGCAUCCAAGUAAAAUCCAAUCUUUUGUUUGUCGCAACAGUAUACACAAUAUCAUGGAGCCCCAACUGAGAGAUUAAUCAAUGUCAAAGAUGUUGGCUAUUUAUUAUUGGACUAAAAUAUAUUCAAUUUUUUGUCCCAUGACAAUAGAUUCAUGAUACUAAUAAGUUGAGUCGGUUAAGCCUAAUAAAUUGAGUGGAGCUGCGGUCCAUAAGCAAUCUAACGGCAAGAGGCCCAAUAAUAGGCCUAACGUCCAAAUAGGUUGAGUUAGAUCGAAGUCCGUGAGCACUUUAGUUGAACCCUUAAAUGCAAUAAGUGUGUCCUUUCUAUCAGCACGUGCUCUAUUAACGGUGCAGAUGUUGGGAGGGAAUUGUUACGUUCACAUGGGUUGAAUUAGAUCGAAACCCGUGAAUGCUGUGGUUGAGUGUGAUGGAUGUGCCCUUUCUAUCAGUACGUAUUUUUGGAAUA
rnacentral:lncRNA from 1 species